AGGCAUGAUGACGUCCGAUUUCCUGCAAGAUUUAAUAUGUUCUUGCAAGGGAAAUAUAUAUGUAGCAAGUCAUGUAUUUGCCGAGAGCAGCAGAUGUCUUGCACUGAGCUUUGUCCAUGUCAGGGUAGUGAUACCUGCCAAAAUAUAUUUUCUAAAGAGGACCUCGACCUCGAAGAUCAAAUAAAUGACGAUGAUGAAGAUGCAAACGAUACCAUUGACUAACGAAAGAGCAUUUGAGCAAAGGGGCAACAUAAAGUUUGUUUUGCCUCACUGUUAUUCAAUGUAAAUAUGUUUAUUUUUAUUAAUUUUGUGUUUUUGUAAUUGCUCUACCAGCAAAAAUAAUUGGUUGUAUACUUAAGUUCCGUAUGCGAUGAUAGUGGUAGUUACAAAUUAAAAUUAAAAAAAAAAAAAAAUAAAACUAAAAAAAAAAGAAAAAACAACCUUGCUAGUGAUCUUCGACCUUGACGUGGUUGGCAAGCUUAAGACAAUUAAAUCAUAAUGUAUUUAUAACUGUCGAACUAACAGGAGACCAAAAUAACAUAUAUUUUUAACUGUGCUGUAAACAUGGUAAAUAUGCG
rnacentral:lncRNA from 1 species